AUGUAUAAUCUCAGCAGAGCACUCAGGA
rnacentral:piRNA from 1 species